rnacentral:lncRNA from 1 species
CUGGAGUCAUAAUGUCAUAAAGAGUAAAGAUAAACUUUCUUAUUAAAAACUGGUUUUAGGUCCAAAUAAUGAAGAUGUAGAAAAACAACCUACAGUCCCAUUAUAACAUUUUGAAAUUCAUUUAUAAAAAAUUUACAGCAGCUGUAAAGUUUCAGUAUCAUAAGGACAACGUGAUCCUACAAACAGCCAAAGGAUGUAGACAAGAUGUUUUUCUGUCUUCCAAAUAACACAAACUGAAAAGAAAAGCCUUUGCUUUCCCUUGGCCACAUAAAAAUAAUAUUUCCACACUACUGGUUAAUAACCCCAAGAAACCUUUGCUUCUCUUAGUCAAUUUGCUCAUUAUGGCUACAAGACUACAGCUCAACAUCACAAGCCCAGAAGAAAUGCUGGUAAGACAUCAAUCUGAGCAUUUCCCGAGACCCAAUCACAACAUUUCAGUGCUUUCCUUAUUCGUCAAGAGCUAUCAUACCAGUCAUUGUGCAAAAUGCAAAUAUUCCAAUGAUUAUUUCAGUACAUUUCUUAAACAACAAGAUGAAACCCAAGAGGAAUGGGAGUGUGCAUAGUGAAAUAUUUAAGAUGCAAAGGCAAGUUUGGAGGGAAGAUGCAGAAAUAAACGAACGUGCACACUUAAAGAUUAUACAAUCUUUGGGGUUUUUCUAAUAUACUUUGAAGCUAUAACAUUCCAGGAUAUUUGUAAAUAUGAAUCCAGUAGAUGUCUUGUAUCAUGCUUCUAACCAGGACCUUCAAUAUUAAGGCAUUUACAUUCACGCCUAAGAGUAUCCACAUUCUUCUAGAUUACUUGAAGAGGGACAGGACUGAUGAACAGAAACCAGUCAAGAAGGCAGGGUACUGAGGUCCCAGGAGAGCAUCUCUUAUGCUCUAAUGUAGCAGCUGGAGUCUAUAGAUUUUUUUUCAGAUGCAGGUAAUAGUUGUGAGAAGCAAUGCUGCAAGAGAGGCAGAGUUAAAUUGUACAGUGUCUUUAAAUCAUUUUAUCCCACUCAUGCUACUGCAGGUGAUCUGGAAAAGCCCAUCUUCGUUUCACUGAAUUAAAACGACUUUUUCAAUACGUGUAUUGGUUUGUUAAAACCAUAGGUUCCUGUGCAAAGACUAUGAACCAUAGAAGCUUCAAGAUGGAGGUUUAACUAUUACAAGAUGAAUCUUUCACUUCUGAAUAGGGACACACAUUUUCAACUUAAUAAUUUAUCUUAAAAUAAAUUAAAAAAUGUUCCAUAGCGCAAAACAAGCACACAAACAAUAGACAAUAUCUUUUUGUCUUUGGUGCACUCACUCAUUUCCUAAAUCAUUCAAGUAACAGCAUCUCUGACUUCUUGGGGAAAGAUGGGAGUUGAAGGUUUGAAGGCCAAAAUGAAUUAUUUCCACUUUGCCAUGCCUGGAUGCCUGAGAUGGUCCUGAGUAUCUGUGAUUCUGGGAGCAGCUGGUAGAGAUUCAGAACGAGUAAGAAAAGUGCAGGAGUAAACCAAGGGGUAGAAGAACCAGCCCUGCAUUGGUCCUUUGAGCCCAGUCUUCAGUAGGGGCAUUUCUUUGUUUUCAUGCCCACACAGAGAACACUAAACAUAAUGCAGAGGUUUAAAAUUCUUUAGAUGGUGCUCAGAAAGCAAGGCUACCACUUAUUCCUGUUAGCCUGACAGUCCACUUGGUGCUGCUCAACUACAAUAAUGGAAGAAAAUGCUCUUCAAAAAGAAAUGAAAUAAA